rnacentral:rRNA from 1 species
CAGCCCUUGACAUCCCGAUCGCGGAUUACGGAGAUGUUUUCCUUCAGUUCGGCUGGAUCGGAGACAGGUGCUGCAUGGCUGUCGUCAGCUCGUGUCGUGAGAUGUUGGGUUAAGUCCCGCAACGAGCGCAACCCUCGCCCUUAGUUGCCAGCAUUCAGUUGGGCACUCUAAGGGGACUGCCGGUGAUAAGCCGAGAGGAAGGUGGGGAUGACGUCAAGUCCUCAUGGCCCUUACGGGCUGGGCUACACACGUGCUACAAUGGUGGUGACAGUGGGCAGCGAGACAGCGAUGUCGAGCUAAUCUCCAAAAGCCAUCUCAGUUCGGAUUGCACUCUGCAACUCGAGUGCAUGAAGUUGGAAUCGCUAGUAAUCGCGGAUCAGCAUGCCGCGGUGAAUACGUUCCC